rnacentral:rRNA from 1 species
GACGAACGCUGGCGGCGUGCUUAACACAUGCAAGUCGAACGGAAAGGCCCUGCUUGCAGGGUACUCGAGUGGCGAACGGGUGAGUAACACGUGGGUGAUCUGCCCUGCACUUCGGGAUAAGCCUGGGAAACUGGGUCUAAUACCGGAUAGGAGCCAUUUUUAGUGUGAUGGUUGGAAAGUUUUUUCGGUGUAGGAUGAGCUCGCGGCCUAUCAGCUUGUUGGUGGGGUAAUGGCCUACCAAGGCGGCGACGGGUAGCCGGCCUGAGAGGGUGGACGGCCACAUUGGGACUGAGAUACGGCCCAGACUCCUACGGGAGGCAGCAGUGGGGAAUAUUGCACAAUGGGCGCAAGACUGAUGCAGCGACGCCGCGUGGGGGAUGACGGCCUUCGGGUUGUAAACUCCUUUCGCUAGGGACGAAGCUUUUUGUGACGGUACCUAGAUAAGAAGCACCGGCUAACUACGUG